AAAAUUUUGGAAUUUUCAUACUUCCAAACAUUGUAAUUUUAAAUACGAAUUAACGUUUUUCGAUGGAUGGCUACAAUUCCCUUUUUAUCCUCUUUUACAUCCACUAGCUUUUCAAAGGAUGUGGACGCUUCUGGCAAAAACAUCUCUUCAAUUAAGUGAUGUAAUUAACCGACGGAUAAAGAAGAGAAGGGACAAAGAACAUGGAAAUGUUUAUGUUUACAUUUCUCCUUUAAAAUUUAGACUUUAAACGAAUUAGUUUGAUUCUUAUCUUGUGAGAAAAUUGCUCAAAUGUUUCACCUUUUUUUACAGUUUUUCGCGGAAGGUCAAGAAGGACAAACAUAAUCCCGUCCAUUCCGUAUGUGGCCAGAGACACCUGCAUUGUCAUUGUCAAGUGGUGGAUCGCAUCCUGGACUAACCCUGGAAAACAUUAUCAAGAGUUUUUACUAUUUUAAUCUCUAAAAAGAAACCGUCUUAAAAUUCUCGUACGAAUUUUUAAGAAUCCAUCGUUUCACAUGGACGAAUAAUAAAGAUUAUUUUUCGAAGAAUAAAUUUCGAAAGAAGAAACAUUUUCAACAUUGAGAAAACAAUGAUGAACACGAAGGGAACACAAUAAAUAGAUAUCUUGAUAAAAGUACAAGCGAAAUAGAAGGAUAUGUCCUGUGAGAAGGCAUCGAGACGUCUCAAGUUCUUGCUCGGCAAGGCAAGGAGAUUUGGUUUGAGCACAGACGAGAUUGUCGACUUGCCAGCGGCCAAAAGAUUACUGUCCACCUGUGUUACUCCCUUCUCCACCGUAUGGACGAUCUUGGCCAUGCUUGCCUUAAUUCUCGGUGGUGGCGCUGUCCUAAUCUUCUUCUGCGCUCCCUGCGCCGCCAAGAGCAGAACGUGAUCGUCCAUAGUCUGCACAAGACAAAAUCUGUCCUUUGGCUCCCGAAGCUGAACUGGAAAGUAUUUUUAAGAAUUGAUUUAAUUAAUUUAAGCGAGAUAUGAUUGUAAGUUUAUUAAUACUCGUAUAAAAUUAUAAUAAAUAAACGAGAAUAAGGGAUAAUCCGUAGUGUCCGUAAUGUAAAAAAUUCAAGAAGAGAUGUGAGAAGCCACGAUGUAUUAUAAAAUAGUUGCGUGACUUAGAUCUUCCAUAAUUUUAUCUUGGAUAAUUACAUCUUGGAUAAUUUUU